UACAGAGGGGGCAAGCGUUAUUCGGAAUUAUUGGGCGUAAAGGGCGCGUAGGCGGCCUGGCAAGUGGAAGGUGAAAUCCCUCGGCUUAACCGAGGAACUGCCCUCCAAACUGCUUGGCUUGAGUAUGGGAGAGGAUGAGGGAAUUCCUGGUGUAGCGGUGAAAUGCGUAGAUAUCGGGAGGAACACCCGUAGCGAAGGCGGCACUCUGGGCCGGAACUGACGCUGAGGAGCGAAAGCGUGGGGAGCAAACGGG
rnacentral:rRNA from 1 species